CCACUUUUACUAAUUGUCUGCUGAAUAUUUAAGAUCUGAAAUUCUGAAUUUAAUUAUCUCCAAUCUCCACUUUUCACUCUCCACUCUCUCAGCGCCUCUGGUUUUGCUUCCUAUCGAGAAUAAGUGUUUAAUAAUAGUGGCUGAAGAAAAUGAGGAACAACAUGACGGAGAUCAAUCAGUGGUGGGAUAUUGGGAUGAAAUUAUAAUGCCUGCAGACGAAGAGCCACUGCAUGAAAAUCAUGAAGAAGAUGGUAAAAUCACUGAACUAGAGAGCACUAAUGCAAUCAAGGAUGUAUUCAAAAUUUUGAUACGUGGACUGUCGGUUUGAUGGAAAGUGAUGCAGUGACAGGUUGUGAAGAAUCUGUGACGACAAGAGAACUGGGGAAUGCUUGAUGAUACAUUGCAAAUGUCUUUGUGACAAAGGCUAUCAUAUUCUUCUCCCUAUAAGAAACUGUUACUGCAAACUUAUGUAGAUCAUGACAGAUUAUUGGUCCAAAAUCCUGAUAUCAAGUACUAAUAUACUUCUUUAUUUGUACUACUUGUUCAUUCUUUAGGCUUUCCAUCUUCUUUUAUCUGCAAGAUUCUUUGAGUUGUAGUGUUAACUCUUCAUAUAUAGUCAUAAGUUUCUUUUCUUGAGAA